AAUUUGACUGUGCAAAGGUAGCAUAAUCAUUAGUUUUUUAAUUAAAAGCUUGUAUGAAUGGUUGGACGAGAUAAAAUCUGUCUCUGUAUAAAAAAUAGAAUUUAAUUUUUAAGUUAAAAAGCUUAAAUUUAUAUAAAAGACGAGAAGACCCUAUAGAUCUUUAUAUAAUUUUUUAUAGUAUUAAUAAAGUAAAUUUAAUUUAUUAUAAAAAAUUAUAUUUUAUUGGGGUAAUAAAAAGAUUAAUAUAAUUCUUUUUUAUAAUACAAUAGUUAUUGAUUUUAUGAUCCAUUAUUAAUGAUUAUAUGAUUAAGUUACCUUAGGGAUAACAGCGUAAUUUUUUUAAAGAGUUCUUAUCAAUAAAAAAGUUUGCGACCUCGAUGUUGGAUUAAAAGUAAUUCUAGGUGCAGAAGUUUAGAGUUUUGGUCUGUUCGACCAUUAAAUUUUU
rnacentral:rRNA from 1 species